UGAGUGGUUAGAUAAAGGCUUAGAGAAUGUGGCCCUCUUCGGGGGGUGUUAUAGCUCUAGGUGCAAUGUAGCCUACUUGGACUGAGGACCGCGCUUCGGCUAGGAUGCUGGCGUAAUGGUUGUAAGCGA
rnacentral:rRNA from 1 species